CCCACGCAGCCUCGGUUACCCUCUCCGCCACCCGCUGGACCUCGGCUUCCAGGGCCCUGCCUCGGUUCGCCCGCCCUCAACCCCGCACUUGCUCUCGGCUUCCGCUCUUUCUGCCCAGCUCGACUCUCCCGCCCGCCCUCACCCCAGAACUCGAGGCUGGAUGUUGCCCCUCACUGACCUCCUGUCAGCUCCUGGAAUGCAGCCCUCUCCUCGCUUGAACAACAACUUGCAGUUCUCUUCCUUUGUCCCUUCAGGCUUAUGGGUGUCCUACGAUCUGCCAUUUGUUUGGAAGCUGGAGAACCAAGAAAGCUGGUAGUCUUGCUCCAGUCCAAGCUCAAAGACCUGAAAACAGGGGAGCCAACAGUGUAAACCCCAGUGUGAAGUCCAAAGGCUUGAGAACCAGGAGGGCCAAUGGUGUAAGUUGCGAGUCUGAGUCUGAAGGCUGGAGAACCAGAAGCACCCGUAUCUGAGGUGGGGAGAAGACCGAUGUUCCAUUUCAAGUACCUUUUGUGGUUUCCCUACAUCCUGUUCACAAUUCUGUGAGGAGCCCCUUGAUAUAAACUGCGCUUGAAUCAUCCCAGUUGACGUGUGUGUCAACUGUUUCCUGCUGGGACUCUUGAUAUUCCAACUUCCUGAACAUGUAAGGAAAAGCCCUAACAAUGACCUAUAAAACCCCACAAGAUCAGGAUCUGCAUCUCCGAUUACCCUCUAAUCCCUGAAUCCCUAUUUUACCUGAGUCAUACUGGCCUCUGUGCUGUGGGUCUUUGCAUGCCAACAGUCCUCUUGCCACAAGUUCCUACUCAAUAGUCUCUCCUCAAAUGCACCUUAACUGGGGGCCUUUUCCUUCCUAUGCUACAUAAAAUGGAAAGUCCCCAGCCCUCCGUAACUCUCUCACAAUGCUUUAUUUUUCUGCACAACAUGAAUAUUGUUGAUUUUUCUUUUUCGAUGGAGUCUUGCUCUGUUGCCCAGGCUGGAGUGCAGUGGCGCGAUCUCGGCUCAUUGCAACCUCCACCUCCCAGGAUGAAGCGAUUCUCCUGCCUCAGCCUCCUGAUUAGCUGAGCGCACCACCACACCCAGCUAAUUUUUUUGUAUUUUUAGUAGAGAUGGCGUUUCACCAUGUUGGUCAGGCCGGUCUCAAACUCCUGACCUCAUGAUCUGCCCCAGCCUCCCAAAGUAUUGGAAUUACAGGCGUGAGUCACAGCGCCCGGCCAUGUUGUUGAUUUUUCUAUAAUUCACCCCUCCCCGUUAGGAUGUAAGUGCCUCAAUGGCAAAACUUGAGUUUCAUUCACUGCUCUAGACAUGGCAUCUCAAACAGUGCUUAGCCACAUGGAAUGUACUCAAUGAACAGGCUAGUGGUUAUGAGAAUCACCUGUCUGGAUUCCAAUCUGUGCUCUACCACUUACUAGCUGGUGAACUCAGGCAAGCAACCUAGACAUUUCCAUGCCAGUUUUCCCAUCUGUAAGUUGGAGACAGUAAUAGCACAGUUUGCAAGCUUAUAGUGAGGACGCAGUUAAUAUUUAUAAGGCACUUUGAAGAGCGCCUGGUCUAUAGGAUGGGCUAGCGAAAUGUUUGAUCUCUUUUUGUUAAUAUAUUUUCAUAUUACAAUUAUUUGGUAUGAAAAGGUAUGGCCCCUACUGAAAAUAAAUAAAUUCACAGGAGAAUAUCUAAACCUCUACGCACCUAGUUACAUUACACAUAAACAUAUAUAAAGUAAAAAUGACAGAAUUACAGAAAGAAUUUGUUAAUCUACCAUGCUAGUGGAAGACUUUAAUAUACCUCUAUCACUAAGUCAGGUCGAGAGAAACAAAUACAGUACAAAUUGAAAAACACAGUUUGAGUACGUAUGUCCAUCCUGUAUCCAAAAAUUAGAUACAUAGUAUACUGUUUUCAGAGAAUCAUGGAGCACUUAUAAAAACAGAUCAAUAAACAGGAUUAACAGAUAAUGCAUUCACCUGGAAGCUAACACAACACCCCCCAACCAAACACACACACACACACACACACUCUCUCUCUCUCUCUCUUUGGUUUUAACCAAUUAGUGGUUACUUGUGAUCAUGUAAGAAGUCUAGUAAUAUGCAGAACAGAGCCAAUGCAGCCAAUCAAAGGUUUUUGAAGAACUCAAAUCAUUGUGAUUUUUCGGCACUGUUUCUUUCUUUUUUUUUUUUUUUGAGAUGGAGUUUUGCUCUUGUUGCCCAGGCUGGAGUGCAGUGGGUCAACCUUGGCUCACUGCAACCUCUGCCCAGUUUGAAGCAAUUCUCCUGCCUCAGCCUUCCAAGUAGCUGAGAUUACAGGCAUGCGCCAACAUGCUCGGUUAAUUUUGUAUUUUUAGGAGAGACAGGUUUUCUCCAUGUUGAUCAGGCUGGUCUCGAACUCCCCACCUCAGGUGAUCCGCCUGCCUUGGCCUCCCAAAGUGGUGGGAUUACAGGCGUGAGCCACCACGCCCAGCCCCUGCACUGUGGUUUUUAUCACCACAGUGAAGAAAAAAAAAAAAAAAAAAAAAAAAGCUCUUUUAACUCUAUGCUUUGUGUCCACUUUCCAAAAGAAUGAAAAGAAAAUAGAUGAGAAUAAGCCAGACGGUGUCUCACCCAGUGCGUUAUUCCUACUUCUUUUAGCCAGCAGAGUGGGAUAAAGCCUGUCUAAGCUUCAGGAAAGCCUAGUACACUGUACAUCUUUUUUUGAGAUGGAGUCUCACUCUGUCGCCCAAGCUGGAGUGUGGUUGUGCAAUCUCGGCUCACUGCAACCUCCGCUUCCCAGGCUCAAGCGAUUCUCCUGCCUCAGCCUCCCAAGUAGCUGGGAUUACAGGCACCUGUCAUCACGCCCAGCUAAUUUUUGUAUUUUUUUUAGUAGAGACGAGGUUUCACCACGUUGGCCAAGCUAGUCUUGAACUCCUGACCUCAGGUGGUCCGCCUGCCUCGGCCUCCCAAAGUGCUGGGAUUACAGGCAUGAGCCAUGGCGCCUGGCCCCACUGUACAUUUUCAAUACUGCUCAUUGACAACUUAUCUUUUUCUUUAAGUAGGGAGAAUGAACAUUAAGAAACAGUAUUUGUGCCGGGCAUGGUGGCUCACGCCUGUAAUCCCAGUGCUUUGGGAGGCCGAGGCAGGUGGAUCACGAGGUCAGGAGAUUGAGACCAUACUGGCUAACACAGUGAAACCCCAUUUCUACUAAAAAUAUGAAAAAUUAGCCGGGCAUGGUGAUGGGCACCUGUAGUCCCAGCUACUCGGGAGGCUGAGGCAGGAGGAUGGCGUGAAUCUGGGAGGCAGAGCUUGCAGUGAGCCACAAUCGCGCCACUGCAUUCUAGCCUGGACAACAGAGCAAGACUCCGUCUCAAAAAAAAAAAAAAAAAAAAAAAGAAACAGUAUUUGCUAUAUUAGGACACAAAGAGAAAACAACCAAAAUCACAAAGUCCAUGUACUCUGGCAAAAUACUAUUAAAUUAGAAAAAAAUAUAUCAAAUAUUGUCUGAUUUUUUUUUUUUUGAGACAGAGUUGCACUCUUUUGCCCAGGCUGGAGUGAAGUGGCAUGAUCUUGGCUCACUGCAACCUCCAUUUCCCGGGUUCAAGUGAUUCUCCUUCCUCAGCCUCUUGAGUAGCUGGGAUUAUAGAUGCCUGCCACCACACCCGGCUAAUUUUUGUAUUUUUUAGUAGAAGCGGGGUUUCACCAUGUUGGCCAGGCUGGUCUCAAGCUCCUUACCUCCGGUGAUCUGCCCGCCUCAGCCUCCCAAAAUGCUAGGUUUAUAGGUGUGAGCCACCACACCUGGCAAAUGUCUAAUUUCUAUUAUAACAAACUAGAUCACUCAGGAGCUGUUUGGAAAUACCUUUCUGAAUAUUUGGUGUAUUGAUGUUUUAGAAUUAUAAUAAAUACACUGUAUAUAAAACGAGGUAGUAAGAUUUUCAGGACCACUAUAGCCAUAAAUGUUUAUAUUAAAAGACUGAAAAUGAACGAGCUAGUGGCCCAACCUACAAAUGAGACAUUGAUGAAGGUAAUUCCACAUUCAUAGCACUUACACCUUUUGUUCUAAGUUACUGCGUGGCCACUCAGUUAAGAGAUGAGGCAUCCUAACAUUGAUUACGUUCCUAGGGCUUCCUCUAAAUGAAUUCUCUCAUGCAUAAAGGGAGGAAUCACUGAAAAUUUUUCUGAAAUUAAUACACUCGUGAGUAUUGCAUCCAAGGAACAUUUACAUAUUUUUCCUAAUAUAAGAGGUAUCACUGAAAACAUUCCCUCAUCCUUUAUCUUAAGAAGUUCUGGCUGAGAGUGGUAGCUCGUUCCUGUAUUCCCAGCAUUUUGGGAGGCUGAGGCAGGUGGAUCACUUGAGCCCAGGAGUUUGAGAGCAGCCUGGGAAACAUGGUGAAUCCCCAUCUUUACAAAAACUAGACAGGCAUGGUGGUGCAUGCCUAC
rnacentral:lncRNA from 1 species